rnacentral:lncRNA from 1 species
GAGAGCCUCCCAGAGGCAGUUUUGUCAUGAAACUAGAUGCCAUCAGUCUCUGGGGGAAUGUGAUGGUGACUUGCUUACUUUGGCAUGUCACGUGUCAUCUGCACUGUGGUUUUCAGUUCUGUCCUGAUGCAGCAGUACUUUGGGGCUAGUGUUCUCCACAGCUGCUGCUGGGCAGGCUUGGAACAUGUGGAGAUCCCAUGGCAUGCUAGGGCAUUUGAUUGAUGUGCAGGAUCAAUCCCUUUCACUGCUCAUUUCAAGGAUGAUUUCAGCUGUGAGAAUCCUUGGUAUCCAGACUCAGCCUGCAAUUCAAUCAAGACCCUUUACCUGUACCUCUGCAAGUUAAGAGAUGUUUGGAGCUGAUCAAAGUAAAAGCUGAUGUACAGAUCUGCAAGUUUAUUCAUUAGUAACAUCUAUAUGUUUGUAAUUAAUAUAUAUAUUUGCCUUUCAUUUUGUAUAUUAUACUGGUAAUAUUACAAAUUGUGGAGUGGGUUUUGUGUGUGUGUGUGUGUUUUUUUUGUUAUUUGGUUUUUUGCAUAUUUUAUUUUAUUUUGUCACUCAACCACGUGUGUUAUAAAUAUUUGGAAUUUUCAGGUGAAACUUUCUGAUUAAUGUCAAUCGCUGGCAAAGGCUCCAACUACGUAUGACCAACGUAUUGUAUUCCUAAUCUCUUCAGAACAAAGGGUCUUGUUCCUUUCUAAAUGUGGUAGUGCACAGGGGAAUGACAUCAAUUAUCUUAAUCAACAUUUCAUAUCCAACAGAACAAGGUUAUUACCAAAGGAAAUUGGUUUUAUUUAAAGAGACAUGCCUGAAUAUUUAAUGUCAAUACUUUCCUCUUGAUUCUCUACUGUUUGUAUAAAAUAUGUGAAGUGCAGUUGUAAAAACAACACGCAAAGAUGUUUUGUGGAAUAAAUGAAAUAAUAAAUGCA